ACACACGCACCUUCCUGGAGACAGCGGUCGCCUCGAUGAAUGCCGGAUGCAACCUGGAGCUCUCCUACGGCAUGAGGAACAACGUCUUCAUGCACAUCCCCCAGGCGCUGGUCAUGGGGAACAUCACGCUGCAGAUGCUGCGAGACCGGGUCCGGCCCCUCUUCUACACGCGGAUGCGGCUGGG